UACGGAGGGUGCAAGCGUUAUCCGGAUUCACUGGGUUUAAAGGGUGCGUAGGAGGGCAGGUAAGUCAGUGGUGAAAUCUCCAAGCUUAACUUGGAAACCGCCGUUGAUACUAUCUGUCUUGAAUAUUGUGGAGGUGAGCGGAAUAUGUCAUGUAGCGGUGAAAUGCUUAGAUAUGACAUAGAACACCAAUUGCGAAGGCAGCUCACUACACAAUCAUUGACUCUGAGGCACGAAAGCGUGGGGAUCAAACAGG
rnacentral:rRNA from 1 species